GACGAACGCUGGCGGCGUGCUUAAUACAUGCAAGUCAACUUGCCUCAAGGUAGUAAUAUCUUGAGGAAGGUGGCGCACGGGUGAGUAACACGUAGGUAAUCUGCCUUUAGGUCUGACAUAAUUCCGCGAAAGCGGGACUAACAUCAGAUGAUGCAGCGGCUCGACAUCGAGACAGUUGUUAAACCUUCGGGCCUAAAGAUGAGCCUGCGCCUGAUUAGGUAGUUGGCGGAGUAAAAGCCCACCAAGCCUGCGAUCAGUAGC
rnacentral:rRNA from 1 species